GAUGAACGCUGGCGGCGUGCCUAAUACAUGCCAGUCGAGCGAACGGACGAGAAGCUUGCUUCUCUGAUGUUAGCGGCGGACGGGUGAGUAACACGUGGAUAACCUACCUAUACGACUGGGAUAACUUCGGGAAACCGGAGCUAAUACCGGAUGAUAUUUUGAACCGCAUGGUUCAAAAGUGAAAGACGGUCUUGCUGUCACUUACAGAUGGAUCCGCGCUGCAUUAGCUAGUUGGUAAGGUAACGGCUUACCAAGGCAACGAUGCAUAGCCGACCUGAGAGGGUGAUCGGCCACACUGGAACUGAGACACGGUCCAGACUCCUACGGGAGGCAGCAGUAGGGAAUCUUCCGCAAUGGGCGGAAGCCUGACGGAGCAACGCCGCGUGAGUGAUGAAGGUCUUCGGAUCGUAAAACUCUGUUAUUAGGGAAGAACAUAUGUGUAAGUAACUGUGCACAUCUUGACGGUACCUAAUCAGAAAGCCACGGCUAACUACGUG
rnacentral:rRNA from 1 species